rnacentral:rRNA from 1 species
UACGAAGGGUGCAAGCGUUGUUCGGAUUUAUUGGGCGUAAAGCGCGCGUAGGCGGACCUGCAAGUCAGAUGUGAAAUCUCGGGGCUCAACCCCCGAAACUGCGUCUGAAACUACAGGUCUAGAAUCUUGGAGGGGGAAGGGGAAUUUCGCAUGUAGGGGUAAAAUCCGUAGAUAUGCGAAGGAACACCAGAGGCGAAGGCGCCUUCCUGGACAAGUAUUGACGCUGAGGCGCGAAAGCGUGGGGAUCAAC